ensembl:lncRNA
GCUGUGUGUGUGGGGGAGGGGGGCAUAAGAGCCUUCCUCAGGCCACUCAGAAGGCUGCACAAUCUCAAAUGAUUGUUCCCUGAAAUUUCCAGUCAGUAUAUUUGAAUGGCAGGGGGCCUGCUGAUGUCCUCCCAUUACAAGGCCAGGGAUGGGGCACAUGCCUGUACUUCAGCACUUAGGAGACUGAACCUGGAGGGUCGGGAGUUAAGGCCACUCUCUGUUAUACAAACAGUGCCGUAAAGGAGAAGGAUCAUCGUUCCAGUAUGCUUAAUUUCGACCCAAACCCUAUGACCAGCAGGAACAUCCAGGCACCGUCUGAUAGAGCACCCCAUUAAAACACCCCUCAACCCACACAUCAUGGCUGUGUCUCCUCCAGGAAGACAAUUUCUACCCUGGGGCUUGACCAGGAUUCUCUUCCAUCGCUUUGAGAAUGUCAGAGUUUAAAACUUCAAAGGUCCUUCAUGCAGUAACUCUACAAAAGUCUAUGACCACACACACACACACACACACACACACACACACACACACACACUCACACUCACAAACACACACACACAGACACACACACACUCACACUCACAUACACACACACACUCACAAACACACAGAGAGAGACACACACGCGCGUGCGAGCACGCGCGCACACACACACACAUACACACACACACACAGACACACACUCGAGCACACACACACACACACAGACACACACGCGAGCACACACACACACAGACACACACGCGAGUGCGCGCACACACAGACACACACACACAGACACACACGCGAGUGCGCGCACACACAGACACACACACACACACUCACAAACACACACACACACAGAGACACACUCACGUGUGCACACACAUACACACACACACAGAGACACACUCGCGUGUGCACACACACAUACACACACACAGAGACACACUCGUGUGUGCACACACACACACACACUCACACACACACAGACACACACACACACACAGAUUUCAUGCUACCUCGCCUGCUCGCCUCACUCUUCCAAGGACUUCUCCUUAAGAAGAAUGCUCCAGACCAUCAGGCUCCAGACCCCUGGGGACCAUGUCCCAGCUGACCAGGCUCCUUUCAGGAACUUCCCAAUACUUGGAGCCUCUUAUGUGCCACAAGAGUGCUGUGGAGUCUCUGCUUCAGAAGUCAGGAGUGCCCAGUCUCUUAAUGAGCUGAACCCAGGAGGUGAACACUGGACCCAGGAGGCACUAGAAGCUUUGUGCUUCCAACUUGAGAGGUCCUUGAUGUUUAUGCCCAGUUCCAUCACUUAGCGUCGGUCAUCACUUGGUCUGUAGGACCCUGGUCAUCUCUGUGCUCCACAAAGAAAAUUCUUCCCAAAUGUAUUGAAGAUAAGCUGAUGGAGUGUGGCAAGAAACAACAAUUAUCUUGGAAAUCUUGGUAAGACACAUGUCUGCCCUAAGAUGCUGUGGACGGGAUCCCACUGAAACCCAGGAUCCUCUGGCAAAGUAAGUAGUGCUAGAGUCACCUUUCUGUAUGUGUGCAAUCUGAUACAGAAGACACCAGGUGAAGAAAGCUACUGGAGAUGUUCAGUGAUCCUAGAGCUGACUCUGUGUGAGCUGAAUAAAGAACUUUGAAAACCCACAAAAGGGGCCAAGGAUACUUGGGGAAAGAGCAAGGGGUUAUGGGGAGAGAAAGACAUAGCACAGAGGGGCGAGUGGAGCUCUGCCAUACAGUUCCUUGGUGGUGGUUGUGGGGUGGGUGGGAGACCAGAGGCCACUUCUAAAAGAAAUAAAAGGCCAGAAAGACAAAACAAACAAAACUCUUGGGAGGGACAGGGUGCCUCACAGAGUUCCCAGAAGGUCAGGGGGCACUUAGGUUCUGACCAAUCGGAGCAGACCAACCUCCCUGAAUUCCAGGAGCACCGAGCAGGCUUCAGGAGAGCCACACAUCACUGGUGUCCUUUGGAAAGGAAGCUUGCGAUGAUGAUACUGGAUAUUUAUACUAAGAGAUUUCUAAGCAUAUCACUAGAGGUGCAGCUUGGCUUCUUUUAGGAGCCACCUUGGCUCCUUCUAACUGUGCAGAGUAGAAUAAGAACACAGAGGGAUGAUUUUAAAGCUGCAGUUGAUACACAAAAAGGAACCAGAACUUAGAGCUUGGAAAUGCUCCACCUAUCAAUAACACUUAUUUGAAGGAAAAAAAAAAACAAAGCAAGUAUGUUUGGAAAGCAACACUAAAGAUGUGGCCAAGAGACUGUGUGAUAAGGAGAUUAAUAGAGAUAGGAACCAAGGACUUUAUCAGCUAUCUCAACAAAGCCUAGAAAAGGAGAAAGGAUCAGAGCAGCAGAAACUCUGCCAGUUACAACUAAUGGAAACAGAAAAGGGCAACAGAGUCUUCACCACCAGACUGGAGGAUGGUCUAACUACAACAGAAUCUUCAAAACCAGUGCAGAAGGACUAUAGAGGCAAUUCAGAGUUUGCCCAGGUUUUACAUGCUACAAUGCAGUGUAUGUGGGUUCCAGGGGUAAUUCUUCCUCACUCCCAAACAGCAGGGCAAGUACCCAGAAGACCUCUGUGAACACAGCAACCCCACAGAGAACCAUAGCAUGAGAAGUACCACCAGGAGGGCGACAGGGUGAUCAUUGCUCCAAUGGCUUGAUUCUCUGAGAGUGAAGCCCCAAGGCAUCUCUGAUUCUCAUGCUCUUUGCUGUGCUGGGUUGGGGCUGCUUGGAACCCACCAUCUUUUCCUCCUUUUCUCUUUCUGCCUGUCAGGAUGGAAAUGUGUGUCCCAUGUUCAUCCUUCCCCUGUUUUUUGGAAGUGCUUAAUUUGUUUGGUUUCAGGCGGUUCACAGCUGAAGAGGAAUUCAGCCUCAGGUUCACUCUCACUCAUAUCUGAUUGACUUGGUAAUUAGACAAAACUUUGGACUCGAGAUUUUAGACUUGAUACUGAAGUAAGUUUAAGCAUUUGGGGUUGCUGGGAUGGGGAAAAGUUCACGCACGUGAGAAGGAUGUAAUUUUGAGGUAGACCAGGAAGAAGGCAAUCUCUGAAUGCUUUUGUCUCCCCAAAUGAUCUGCUGAGAUCGUAGCUACUGCUGUGAUGGUCUUAGGAAGUGAGGGAUUUGGAAGAUGGGAGAUAACAAGAGUAGAAACCUUACAAGUUCAAUAAGUGUCUUUACAAAGGAGACACCACAGAGCAAUUCUGUUCUUUGCCCACUUUGUGAGGACUAAGUGACAGGAUGACAGUCUAAAGGCCUGGGAGAAAGCCUUCUCAGAAUCAGUCCAGGGCUGUGUCCCCAUCUCAGCCUAAAGGGGAGGGGGAAUAAACUCCUGCUCCUCUUAAGUCAUUUGGUAUUUAUGACAGUGGCCCAAACAGACUAAGUCAUUGUUGCUGUGGAUUGAAUGCGUUGCAAGACUAACUACCAGUGCCUCUGAGGGGACCGUAAUUGAAAAUACAGGCCUUGCACAUGUCAAGAGUUUUGAGAGUGGAUCCUUAAUUCAAUGUGACUUAUGCUCUUAGGAGAAGAGGAAAGAUUAAAGAGAAGAUAAUGAUGCAUGGCACUCUGUUGAGGAAAUCAAUGCCAGGAAUGGCCCAGCCAACACCAGACGUUGGGAGAAGCAACUAAAUGGGUCUCAGAAUCUUGGCAGCUUUCGAUUUCUGACCUCCAGAACUGUUAGAAGGAGUCUGAUCCAGAGAAUGCCAUCUGGGAGAGGGCUGAAAGCAUGGAGCUCCGUCUCCUCACUUGAGACUGAAGAUGAGAUCAAAUUCCAGUGGCCGCAGAGGAGGAAGAGAGGAGUUCAUCUUGAGUCAGAUGUGCCAACCACAUCGGUAAUCCCAGUACUCAGCGGCAGGAGGAUGCCCGCAAAUUCAAGUCCAGCCUGGUCUACACAGUGAGUGCUGAGCCAGCCAGAGCUACAUAGCAGGACUCUGUAUAAAAUCAAAACCAGCAAAGGAAAGAAACAUGUGCUCUGUCAUCCACAGGUUCGGAAGAUGCUUUUAAAAACAUACAAGACGAGCCAGGACAGAAAGAUGAAAGGCCUAGGGAAAUGGCUGCAAAGAUGAACACAUUCUUAAAAAGGAGGAAAGAUGGCUAGGGAAGAGAACCAGGGAAGGAUAAAGAAAUAAAAAAAAAAAGAAAUAGAAAUACAAAGACAAGAGGGGGAAACUGAAACAUUAAGGAAAGAAAACACAUACAGGAAAAGACCAGUGAAUGGAGAAAAACUCUGCCUCGUAGCCCUGCCUUUCCUGGCCGUUACCACAGCACAGAAGAAUUCUAAAGUCCUCCCACAGUUCAAACCUGCAUGUCUCUUACUCAUCUUUUCUUUCUCUCAAAAUAUCAAAAGGACAAUCCACUCUGACCUAAUGGAGGCUCUUGCUGAUGUCCGAUUGCCUGCCUGCCUUGUACACACUGUUUCUCUUGGGUGACAGUCCUCUGGUGGUAAGUAAACAAUACUGUAAUGAGCAACACAGUAAGUUCGAGAAAUACCCAGAUUGGAGGACUGGGGGAGAGAGUGGGCUGUGGGCACUUUCUAUUGCUUUGGCCUUCAACCUGAUGCCUCCAUUACUAAGAAUGGAUCUUGAUGUCCCUUUUCAAGGUGUUGCAUUAGCAAGCAUACGGUGACUGUCCAGACUGCCCACCUACACUGCCCACCUAAAUGAACUUUAAAUGCGAAUUUCCAGCUACCAAAGUGUCCCUGGGCUGCUUGUCACUGUUUCCACAUAUCUGUAUAUAUGCACAUAUACAGGAAAGGGAAAAAGAUAUUCAAUGAGAUGAAAUAUUCACUUUAAUUAUUAAGUUCUUAUAAAGGGUAAUGGGCUCUUUGUACUAUCCCUGCAACUUUUCUAUAAUUUAAAAAAAUAUAUAAUGAAGUAGGAAGCUCUGAAAAGUUAUCACAGAAUGGAGAGACUAACCAGUUCCUUAAACAAACAGCCUAUUGUGUGCUUAACCACUCCUGACCACGCUGACAUCAAAGUUUUCAUCCUGCCAUUAGCAGAAUGCAAAGUGGAACAGGAAGGCAAAGGGUCCGGUGUGUGCUUUGGAAGCUUCCUGUCGGCUUUCAGGAGUGAUUGCAAGCCCUGUCAUCACUUGAAGGCACCAUUUCUCUAUCUUAAAAAAUCUCAAGCUUCAAACAAAAAUCUUUUGUUCCCAGUUCUAAUCAGCUUGACUCGGUGUGUCGACAGCUGCUGCCGAGGACCAAGAACUAAAGUCGAGGAGGGAAGCUGGGACUCUCCAGGUGGCUAGGUGUCCCCAGUUGUGGGAGACACUGGCAACACAUUCCUCAGUGGCACGGCAAGCUCGAUGCUUUAUGGUUUCUCCUGGCAGUUUGGGAAGGCUCUCCCAAGCCCUGAGGGACAUGAUGUUGAAUUACCUCUCAGAAAGCCAGCAGUGGUAUUUUGCGGUCAUGGCCAGAUUAUACGCACAGGCAUGGAUCACACCUUCUCACGAAAGUGAGUUUCUGGGGCUCAUGACUCAUUGUGUCUUCUAUUCAGAUAGGUAGCUUAUUGUGUUUGGCUGAGACACAAAAACAGGUGGCUUAACUGGUGGCACAAACAUGUGGUCUUUGUCCAUAGCCCAAAGGUGAUCACCUGCUGGGUCCUCUAUGGAAUUUCCACUCCCUGUGAGAAUCAAAAACAUAAUUGGGGGGAAAAAAGAUGCUGAGAUGCUGUUGUUCUCCAGGUGUUUCUUUGAGUUGGCCAACUUCCGCCCUCUCUGUUGUGUUUCCCAGGGAUGGGAGGUUUGCACUGGGCUGGUAAGUAGUGGGGUAAGCCUAGAUCAGUGAAAGGGAAGCAAUGCAACCAGUUAGACUGGAGAUCUUGUUCUGGGCUCCCUAGACAACUUCCCAUCUGUCUCAAGAGUGGAUCCUUCGAGGAGUCAGUACCAGGAUGGAGAUGCCUCAUCCGUUCAUCAGCCUGCACCUUGCCCUACGUUUUAGCAUCUGCUGAUUAAUGUGCCAUUCAAGAGAAUCUUCUGUAUUUCACUGAUCCCAUCUGCUCUUCUCCUGUAUAUCUGUAAAACUGAGGCAGUUCUAUCUGCUCCUACCCAAGGCUGAGUAUCAAUGUAACUUUUAUGUUGUGUGUUUCUUGUUCUGUGUUGCGUUUACAUGUUUGUAAGUGCAUGCACACAUGGAGUCCAGGGGUCCACCUCAACUGUCUUCCUCAAUUGUCUACACCCUAUUUUUUUUGAGGCAGUCUGAUAGGGGAUGUCCUUCUGUGAAUAUGCUUCUCUUAUUGGUUGAUGAAUAAAACAAUGUUGGCCAAUAAGGUAGGAUGAUAGGCAGGACUAGGAGAAGAGGAGAAUUCUGGGAAGUAUAGGCAGGGAGGGGUAGCCAUGUGAGCCACCAAAGGAGUUAAGAGGUCUGGACCCUUCUCUGGUAAGAUAAAACCAUGUGGAAAUACUUAGAUUAAUAGAAAUGGGUUAAUAAUUAAGACAGAGCUAGCCAAUAAGAAGCCCUAGUCAUCAGUCAACAGUUUUAUAAUUAAUAUAGUGUCUCUGUGUGUUUAUUUGGGGCUGAAGUGGUUGUGGGACCAGGUGGGGUGGAAAAUUGCUUCAACAGCAGUCUCUCAGUUAACCUUGAACUCACCAACUGCACUGGGCCGACUAGCCAUACUUCCCCACACUCAUCACUCUGCUUCCCCAGUCCUGGGCUCACAGGCAUGCAACAGCAUGCCUGGCUUUUUAUGUGGACAACAUGGGUCCAACACUCAGGGCCUCACCCAUCCCAGAACGCAUGUUGCCUAUUAAACCAUCUCCCAGCCCUUGACAGCAUUUUUUUUUUUAACAUUUCAAUAUAUAUUGGUCAGGUCUUGGCAGCAAACAGAAGAAAUACAUUCCAAAUUCAAAAAGAAAGGAAUUGAUUAGAAGAAAAUGUUAUUUAAAAGACAUGAUCAAUACAAGGGCUGGAGAAAUAAAAUCUUGGAGAAACACAGACUAGAACUGAGGAGGAAGACCAUUCAGCGGACGGCGAAUUAAUCUACAUGUGGACCCUGUAGAGACACGUUCACUAACAUUUCCACCCCAACCACUACUGGAUACCAUGGCAACUGCUGUCUCUUGUGUAGACACAAUUUCUGAGAGCCCUUGCAUCAGUCUUCCAAAUCCUCUUACAGGUAGAGAAUCCAGGUAGCUUGACUUAGGUCAUAAAGGUCAGCCCUUGCCAACUGGGCCCUAAUGGAAGGUAGGACUAAGGGGAACAAACGCAAAUGCCAAAACAUUUUAAAAUGUUCAAGAUAACAAAAUGUGAGAAGAAGUUAAGAAAUCUUAACUUUUACCAGUUCUCAAAGAAGCUGAGCCCUCUCACAGACCAGCACCUUUGGCUCACUGAAUCUGUCCUUGUUUUCGUUAUUGCUUUUAUCUUUCCUGUGUCCACUCCAAAACAAGGUAAAAGUCUUUUCAGUCACUGAUCUUAAUUUACUAAAAUGUUUUUAAAUUUAAAUCUACUUAUCAUCAUUUUCUGAGCUAAAGAAUGAAAAUAAAUGUAUUUAACCAGAAACACAUUAACUGGCUUCCUUCUCUGUUUUCUCCCUCUGCAGUUGUGGGAUUAUCAUGUUUCCAAAUAAGAAGCACCUGGCUGGUUCUUUCCUUAAGGUUAAUUAAUAACCCUUGGAGAGAAAAAUAAGCCAAUAUAUUCCAUUUAAUAUGGAUUUCCCUGACAUGAGGAUGAGGCCUCAAAAAUACCUUUGUUUUCAUGUUGCUAAAAGAAGACAGAUACUUGGAUAUCAGUUUUACAGCUGCCGUUCCUCCUUGGGAGGCAGCAAGGACAUAGUGCAUGCCCCCUAGGACACUAAGCAUGCUCGGGGCAAAAAGGCAGAAGCUCUAACUGUGCCUGCAGCCUGCCAUCUUACAGAGAUACUAAGGAAGAGUGGCGUGCCUUCUUUCCGGGAUGACCAGUGUGACCAUGAAUGCCAGGACAGCUGCUGUCAUGAUCAUCUGCCUUGCCUUCAUUCACAAAGCAUAUUUUAUCAAUGGCAUUUUGGAUUCAGACCAUCGAAAGAGGAAAUCAGACAGUAUCUCUCAGCAAACAAAGAGCCCACCUACUAUGUGGAUGGGCUAGCCAGCAAGUCCCAGGAAUCCACCUGCUUCUGCUUCCCCACUGCUGGGAUUACAGGUGCACAUUGCCACACCUGGUUAUUGUAUGGUAAAAUCCGCUCUGGGUCUUCAUGCUUACAUAGCAAGCACUGUGCCAGCCGAGCCAUCUCCCCACACCCUGUAUUUUAUUUUAUUGGCAUGUACUCAUUGUACACAGUCCUGGAUUUCAUAAGGGCGUUUCCAUAAAAGAAUAUAAUGUACUUUGACCAUAGUUAAUAAGAAGGAUGCCUGUAAACAUUCCAAAAAUAACAACACAUGCGUGCGGAAGAUACUAUAGACAUGCUUGGUACAUCUCCAGACUUUAAGAUCCCUGAGAAUAACACUGGCUAAGUGGGUCAGAGGUUUGGAUCAGCUCGCAAGUUGAAAAGUUCAGAGUGGGAAAGAAACAUCGCACUUGACUUGGGGGUGUGCCUGAGCCAGGACAGUCAUCCAAACUCUUCAGAUCUGACUGGGUCUGUGCCCCACAGACACAUAAACCUGGGUCUGCUGCUUCACCACAGUGGGCUGGCUAUGUCUUUUCCACAAGACUUCUUGAUCUCCACCUGCAUGUGGCCUUGAUCUGGCCCAAUGAUACCGGCAGAGUCUCAAGUCUAAUGGACUGUAGAUGUGAAGGCAAGAGAGGCAAGGCCCUGGGACCCACGCUGCACUCUGCUCUUCUGUGUAACUCAGUAAGAAGGCACAAUGUUACUCAUACACGCUUGUCACCCAAGGCAUUUCCAAAGGACUCAAGCCUUGCAGACGGUGACAUUUAUCCACCACUGGCUGUGCUGGAUUUAAACAGAUGACCUUCUCAUGAGAGCCCCAGUGUUUUCUUUCUAAUCCAGUCCACCAAGUCAUUUCCCAUUGCUGCCCUCCUGAUAUGACGCACAGCACCACUCUCCAGAGCGCUGGCCUUUUUAUUGGUUCUCAUAUGUGCAAAGAUCUUCAGAGGAUGGAUUUGCAGCAGAGAUGAGCUAAUAAAGUGCCACUUUUGCAGAAGAGAUGGCACUGGUGAUAUUCUGAGUCCAUAAAUAGCACCCCUUAUAUAAUCCAUUAUUCUCAGUGAGGACCCGUGGGCUUGAGUCUAUUUAUUUUAACUCAUAUUUUUUAUGUCAUCUGGUAAGAUUUAGCCAUAACUGUAACAGUUACAGUCCAAAUAACUGUUCUUCUUAGAACAGGGUUGCAGUGUGCUGCCACAGAGUGUGACAAUGUCUUCUCAUGUAUGGGUCCCACGCUAAUGAAGAGUGGUCCAGGCAGCCCCGGAGCAGGUAGCAUCUCAGAGAUCAUUCCUCAGAGAGACACAGCUGCUCAACCCUCACCCCAAGGGCAGUCAGAAGAUGGAGAGAUCAAAGGGAGUUCAGAGAAAAUGAAAGCACACCCCUAAUUCAAUACAGGAAAAUUGCCAUGACUGGAGUGCUUAGUUCAAUCUUCUAAGAAAACAACAACAGAGAGCAGAAGAAAAAAAAAUGACUAAGAUCGGGUUCUGGCAUCAGGAAUCAGCUUGCCAAGGCGGAAGGCAUACCCGAUGGGGAAGACAGCUCGUUCCCCUAGAUUAAUCAGAGUUCUGAGUCAACUGUAAGUUCCAAGUGUCCCACUGCCAAGAUACAACAUAAGCCACUUAAUUCCUUCCCACAAUCUAGAAUUGUUAGUUGCUAUCCAAGCCAAGUACUCUGAUAAAACCCCUGGAGACAUGAAACCCAUCAAAGGGGGCAGAGUUAUGCCAGGAUGGAUAACCGGAGCUUGGGGAGCAAUGGGACCCUACCUCAUGAAGAGGCUAAAGGGACUCCAUCGAGGGGUGUUGAGGGGAGGCAGUUAUCUUUGUUGGUUGCCUAUUGUCAGCUCCCAAGUCACUUGGGGAUGGGCAGAGAGGCAAAGGGCAGCCCCCUCGGUAAGAAUGGGAAAUUGUGGGCAAACUCUCUCUGUGGGCAAAAAUACACAAAAAAUAGAAAAGGCAACCACACUUCCCAUGGUUACGGUUUCUUUGCAAGUGGGUUGUGGAGAUGAUCAGUUCAAACCUAGACAAAAGGGCAGGAACCUCUGGUUUGGAAAUCUUUGAGGCAGAAUACCUUCCCAUAGUGGUGGAUGCUAAGCACCCCACCCCAUGAGUAACUCUUUAGGGUUGAGAGUUCCCAGGAGGCACAGACAUGACCUGGGAGUGCAAUACACAAGCAUCCAGCAUCACAUUGGGUUGCUUAGUGAGGGAGCCGAGUGCUAACUAAGCCCUUAAGGAAGAAGCAUGAAACCAUUGAGCUCCUACUGGUGCAAGGCACUUUUUUUUUUUUUUUUUUUUUUUUUUUUUUGGUUUUUGGAGGCAGGGUUUCUCUGUGGCUUUGAAGGCUGUCCUGGAACUAGCUCUUGUAGACCAGGCUGGUCUCGAACUCACAGAGAUCCGCCAGCAUCUACCUCCCGAGUGCUGGGAUUAAAGGCGUGCGCCACCACCACCUGGCCACUACCAUCCUCUUUUUAAAACAAAACAAAACAAAAAGUUACCAGGAAGUAGAGCCUAGAACUCAUGAUGGAGUUCUAGGCUGAUGUUGUGAUCUGUCAUCCAAUCUCUGCCCCUCAGCCGCAGGGAUCACAGACCCUUACUCUGACUGGAGCAGAGAGAGAGGAGGAGGGAUUGCAGAUCCCACAGAUUUUCUUCACCAGCGUUUUGUUGCUAAUUGGAAAGACAGGGAAGAGGGAGUGAGAGCCAGAGGGGAGCUCGGUGGCACACAGCUCCUGAUGCCUCAUACUCAGAACUCCUGGGCUGGGCUCUGUGUCCAUGAGGCACAAUAGACUUAAAAGUGUGGUGCAAUAGAGUUUAUUGCUUAAUCCUAUCUGGGGAUCCCCUCCCGCAAGGUUCCUGGGGCUAAAACAUCGUCAUCAGUGUUGAUAUCACUCUACUCCCUGGUAACUUAAAAAAAAAAAAAAAUACUAGCCAAUGUUACCACCCAGAUACAUCAUACAAAAACAUCCUUUCUGCUAAUUUGCAUAAAGCAAACUUCUUCUGAAACAUGGUAAUCACCCCACGUCUCAGGACUCACACUUAAAUAAAGCCAGCACUUAGCAAGCUUAGAAAGGUGCUGGUGCUCUGUGGACACAGGUCUUCGGAAGCUGCCAAAGUCUUCCACGUGCAGGUCUCUGGCACUCCGAUGGGGUGAGGGCCCUUCUGCCGAGGUAGCUGACACAGUCUAGGAAGCUUUCAGCACACAAACCAGCAGCCCACGUUUGCAAGAGCAGAUCUGCUUUUGUAACAGCCUCCAAUGUUUAUGUUCCUGUCGCUACCACACAGUUGUCAGCCCCCCUGGCUCUCCUUCGUUCAAUCAGUCCUCUCCCUUGCUCAAAAGGCUGAUGACUCAGUAGCUGCUUCCAUGUAUCCUGCUGGUUUUAGAUAACCUCCAGGAAUCUGUUGCACCCGUUUGUACCCCCAUGUCAGCUAUUGAUUCAACAGGCAAAUCUCUGACCCUUCCAUAUGCUGGGCACAAUGGCAAGCACGACAGCAGCAAGCAUUUUGAGAGCCUCAGAAGAGCUCAUUUCAAACAGACACUCGCUAUGUACUACUCAGAAGCAUAGAUUCUCAGAAUACAGGUUUCUCUUCCGAAAUACCUGUCCUUCCUUGAUACUCUUCAGUAUUCCUUCCCAUGGAGCCUCCGUCCCAUGGGAGCUCUUCUCUUAUCUCAAAGUCAGAAUAAAAGAGUCCCUUUUCUGUAGUUCACAACACUCAUAGAAGCCGAGGCCAGAAGAAAGAAGACACCUAAGAGUACAGGGCAAGGAGGCCCAGCUUCACAAUCAAAGCUAGAAACAUAUUGGGAGGAUGUGGAUUAAGUCUAGGAAUGAAGAAUGAAGUUGAUUCUAAGAACGUCUUAGAAUCAAUGAGAACCAGGGUAGUUCUUGGGUUUCACAGACUAAGCGAAAAGUAUUUGCUUACUGAGAGGGACAGUCAAUACGUUUUGAUUGACCACACAAGGAAAGACGGGAAUCUGGUAAGGGUAAGGCCACUCCCCUGACCAUAGCUCAUACACUAUUACCGGAGAAAAGAUGGGUCAGGAAGGCAGAAGAUGCUCGUGAACAUUGUAGCUGUAGGAACUGUCAACUGCUUCAGGAAACUUGCCUGAACACUCACAGGCUUAAACAUACACAUAUUCACGUAUGGUAGAUCCAAAAUAGGAUGCUAACAAACACUGUGAGGCGUGAUCUAACCUGAACCCAAAAGAAAGAAAACAGUCCGUGCAAUAGCAGAAAACACUUUACAAAACAAACCUGCUCAGUUUUUCCUAGGUUCUCUUCCAAGACUUGACUAUAGAUGAAAACAUGGCUGUAUUUUCUGUACCCCCCUUCUCAUAUCAUGUACAUAUUCUCAGGCCGCCUUACAGCGUUCUUAAACUUUUCCUAACAUGUAUAUGUUCCUUCUACACUGUUUGUUUUUUGAGUCUCACGAAUGUUUAGAAUGAUCCUGUUUUCUCCUCCUAUACACAGCUCCAUAACUAAUGCCUUCAUGUAUACACAUUUUCCUUUCUCUGAAUUAUUCCCUUGGGACAAAUGCCAGUGUGUGGGGCAGGAAAGAUAAACAAAGCAGGAAUGUUUUAUGGCUGCUGUAGUGCCUUGCCAAAUCAUUCCAGAAAAGAUGCCAGUUCAGGUUCGCCACUGGAGAUGUCUGAUUAUCCCACAUGCUCCCAGUGACACAGUGCUAGGCAUCCGUCAUGGACAAACUCUCCACAACACACCCUCUUCCCAACAAGGCACCAGGAAACUUGGUCUACAGCUGCCAUUCAUCUGCCCAAUGUUGUAAUUGGGGGGGGUAUUUUUAAUUGACAAGGAUAUUUUCAUUACAGCAAAACCAAUUUUCUCGCUUUUGAAUGUACAUAAAAUUAUCAUUUCUGAG